UCCUGACUGACCGAUAGUGAACCAGUACCGUGAGGGAAAGGCGAAAAGAACCCCGGCGAGGGGAGUGAAAAAGAACCUGAAACCGUGUACGUACAAGCAGUGGGAGCACGCUUAGGCGUGUGACUGCGUACCUUUUGUAUAAUGGGUCAGCGACUUAUAUUCUGUAGCAAGGUUAACCGAAUAGGGGAGCCGAAGGGAAACCGAGUCUUAACUGGGCGUUAAGUUGCAGGGUAUAGACCCGAAACCCGGUGAUCUAGCCAUGGGCAGGUUGAAGGUUGGGUAACACUAACUGGAGGACCGAACCGACUAAUGUUGAAAAAUUAGCGGAUGACUUGUGGCUGGGGGUGAAAGGCCAAUCAAACCGGGAGAUAGCUGGUUCUCCCCGAAAGCUAUUUAGGUAGCGCCUCGUGAAUUCAUCUCCGGGGGUAGAGCACUGUUUCGGCAAGGGGGUCAUCCCGACUUACCAACCCGAUGCAAACUGCGAAUACCGGAGAAUGUUAUCACGGGAGACACACGGCGGGUGCUAACGUCCGUCGUGAAGAGGGAAACAACCCAGACCGCCAGCUAAGGUCCCAAAGUCAUGGUUAAGUGGGAAACGAUGUGGGAAGGCCCAGACAGCCAGGAUGUUGGCUUAGAAGCAGCCAUCAUUUAAAGAAAGCGUAAUAGCUCACUGGUCGAGUCGGCCUGCGCGGAAGAUGUAACGGGGCUAAACCAUGCACCGAAGCUGCGGCAGCGAUGCUUAUGCGUUGUUGGGUAGGGGAGCGUUCUGUAAGCCUGCGAAGGUGUGCUGUGAGGCAUGCUGGAGGUAUCAGAAGUGCGAAUGCUGACAUAAGUAACGAUAAAGCGGGUGAAAAGCCCGCUCGCCGGAAGACCAAGGGUUCCUGUCCAACGUUAAUCGGGGCAGGGUGAGUCGACCCCUAAGGCGAGGCCGAAAGGCGUAGUCGAUGGGAAACAGGUUAAUAUUCCUGUACUUGGUGUUACUGCGAAGGGGGGACGGAGAAGGCUAUGUUGGCCGGGCGACGGUUGUCCCGGUUUAAGCGUGUAGGCUGGUUUUCCAGGCAAAUCCGGAAAAUCAAGGCUGAGGCGUGAUGACGAGGCACUACGGUGCUGAAGCAACAAAUGCCCUGCUUCCAGGAAAAGCCUCUAAGCAUCAGGUAACAUCAAAUCGUACCCCAAACCGACACAGGUGGUCAGGUAGAGAAUACCAAGGCGCUUGAGAGAACUCGGGUGAAGGAACUAGGCAAAAUGGUGCCGUAACUUCGGGAGAAGGCACGCUGAUAUGUAGGUGAAGUCCCUUGCGGAU
rnacentral:rRNA from 1 species